rnacentral:rRNA from 1 species
CCCUACUAUUCUAUUUUAAUAAAAUAUUUCAAGGGGAAAAACAUAAUAAAUUUGACGGUAUUAAUUUUUACAAAGGAAUUUGUUUCAUUAAUCGAUAAUACACGAUAAACCUUACUUAAUUCAUAUUUGUAUACCACCGUAUUAGUAAUUAUCAAUAAAAUUACCAAAAAAAAUAUUUUUAAAUAUCAGGUCAAGGUGCAAUUUAUUUAAGAAGAAAUGAAUUACAUUUAUAAUUUAUAGAUAAAAAAAAAUGAAAAGCUAUUUUAAAUAGAAUUUGUUAGUAAAAUUAAAUCAUCAUGUUUUUUUGAAAAAAAAUAUUAAUAUGUACAUAUCGCCCG